UCCCAGUCCCACCUUAGAUUACUUCACUAAAGACAGGAAUGCACCCGAUGGAUUUUUCUUAACAUCAGCAAUUAUUUAAUAUUCACUUACAGGUACUCGGGGAGUUCCUUACUCAAUAGACUUGCCAACUGCUGAUUGGGAAGAUGGUUGGUCAGCCAGAGAGACAAAGGUCAGAAGCCUUCAAUAAAUCCUGCCGCCACCUACACCAGAUCCUGAGGUAACAGAUUUGUCCACUCCAGAGAGAAGAGGCCGCAUAGGCCAGGGAUGGAGACUGGGAUUUUCCAGGUCAGUAUGACAAUUAUUAUCAUUCUCCAUCUGUUUCCAUCAUCC